rnacentral:rRNA from 1 species
CCUACGGGGGGCUGCAGUGGGGAAUAUUGGACAAUGGGGGCAACCCUGAUCCAGCCAUGCCGCGUGUGUGAAGAAGGCCCUCGGGUUGUAAAGCACUUUCAGUGAGGAAGAACGCCUGGUGGUUAAUACCCAUCAGGAAAGACAUCACUCACAGAAGAAGCACCGGCUAACUCCGUGCCAGCAGCCGCGGUAAUACGGAGGGUGCGAGCGUUAAUCGGAAUUACUGGGCGUAAAGCGCGCGUAGGUGGCUUGAUAAGCCGGUUGUGAAAGCCCCGGGCUCAACCUGGGAACGGCAUCCGGAACUGUCAAGCUAGAGUGCAGGAGAGGAAGGUAGAAUUCCCGGUGUAGCGGUGAAAUGCGUAGAGAUCGGGAGGAAUACCAGUGGCGAAGGCGGCCUUCUGGACUGACACUGACACUGAGGUGCGAAAGCGUGGGUAGCAUACAGGAUUAGAUACCCGGGUAGUC